rnacentral:misc_RNA from 1 species
UUGCUUCAACUUUCCUUCGUACACGAGAAAAAAGAGUUUUUAUUCAGAAGUUCGUUAAAAAAACUUUUUUAAUAUACUUAAAUAUUUUUUUAGUAUUGCUAUAUUUAUCUUCGUUAGCAAGUAUUUGUUUUUAUUAAUUUUAGUGAGGUGAUCUAUAUUUUGUUACCCAGUGAAGCGUACUAAACAGGGUGAUUCCAUAAUGAUAUGGAUGACUCUCAAAACUUUUGCUUCAAAUUUUAUGGUUAGGAAAGUCACAUCUUGAGGAUUUCGAAUUGUAAUGAAACCUAUGAUCAGAAAUACCAGAGAUAAGUGAUAACAAAGAACAUCGGAAAACACACUAAAGAGGGAGGAAUUAAAAAAUUUUAUAGGACAUCACGAGUCAAAUAGUGUACCAUAUAAGUACAGUAUAAAAUGUUGCAACUCAUGUUCGACGUAUGACAUAAAACCCGAAGUAGUACGUAAAGACCGAAGUAGUGAAAAUUCCCGGAUGUUGAAUAUUGAUGUUAACUCUGUAUUUGGUGCGAAGCGCCACCACCUGAUUCAUGUGUACUGCGUAGACAUGCACUGAAAAGUCAUGUAAAAAAACCUCCUUAUAUACUGAGUAGCGAGCCUCCUCGAAGCGGUGGACAAGUGUCGAUCCCUGAUAGACGAAAAGUUGAAUGACCGUCAUCCGGCGUCACGUUUAUGUCAAGAGUUACAGCACUCUCGCCACUCCCUAUCCAUGCCGGUCGAAACGUAAACAAACAUCCGUAGCGUGCUGUAGUGACAUCCUUUUUCAUCUGUUGGUCACCAUUCCAUGCUCAGCGACUUCUUGCCAUCUACUCCUCCACUGAACCUACACCCACCCUUGAGCUCACCUACACAAUACUGACUUACAUAUCUGGC